GGAGCAGUUUCUGGAGAGAGCGCGUAUACCGCGUCGCCGAAGGGUUCAUAAUCUCAGGCAAAAGGACAGAAGAGUAAUG
rnacentral:ncRNA from 2 species